rnacentral:misc_RNA from 1 species
AACGCACCUUGCGCCCCUUGGCAUUCCGAGGGGCACACCCGUUUGAGUGUCGUGAAACCCUCAAAAAUCCUUUUUGGACUUACUGAAAAGGAUUUUUGGACUUGGAGGUUUAAUGCUUGCCUUUCACCUUUGAAAGCAAGCUCCUCUCAAAUGAAUUAGUGGGGUCUGCUUUGCUCGAUCCUUGACGUGAUAAGAUGUUUCUACGUUUUGGAUUUUGGCACUGUUCCUUGGAUGCCUGCUUCUAACUGUCUCAUGGACAAUGGAUGGUGCUCCGGUCCCUGCCUUCUAACGUUGGUGGGAGGCUGGACCCACGAAUGAAAACCUUGACCUCAAAUCGGGUGAGACUACCCGCUGAACUUAA